ACCUGCCCUCCAGCCACUGCCAAGGCAACCUCGCGCGUGAGGCGUCGGGCGACCGAGCGCGCGGGAAGGGCGAGCGCUAUACGCCGCGCGGCUGCCUCGCCCUCUCUCCUGGUGAUAGCCAUUUGGCGUCUUCUGUCUGCUCUCGGUGCCUGGCGAAGCCCGAGUUGGCCCUGAGGCGUCUGCACGGGGAGGCGAGGGCGAGCAUGUUUGUUGUUUACCAAGAAUUGGAAAAAUAAGGGCCCGGACUCUUCGGACUCUCUGUACGGUAUUGGGGUGUGGGAGCCACCUCCUCCCCUGAAGGUCCCAGGAUACUCGCUGCCCGCACCCUGCGGGCUCGGCCGGACAUUCCUCGGAAACAGCUGCGUCUGUGUGAGAAAUGAGCGGAUUACCUGAGGCGUGGAGGGGUUUAGAGACAGCAUUUUGCCAGUCCACGACACUGAAGCGGGGCAAACGUGGGAACUCCUUACUGCCAGAAAGGUGAGGGAAUGAGGAGAUGCAGCAAGCCUGCUGAAAAGGCGGCAGACAUGCUGCGGGGCCAGCAGCCACGGGACCAGCAGCCACGCAGUCUGCCUUCGCAGCGUAGCUUCAUUCAUUCAUGCGCGUAGCAAAUAAGUAUUCAAUGCUCACCCUAUGCCAUUGUUCUGGGCGUCAAUGAAGGGAGUAUAAACAGCACCUGCUCCCAUGGAUUUGGAAGGAAUCUUUGCUACAAUAGCUAAUGAAGAUUGACUUGUGCUUCCUCAAGCUACUCUAUAACUUGUAUGCCCAUUGAUUUUAAUUGCAUUUAAGAUUCUGCAGUGCACUUAGUGGAUGUGCAAACGUUUUAAACAUAAAAUAGAGGUCACAGCCUAUUGACCUCUGUUCCCGUUUGCUUCUUUGGAAAAGUUUUUAGUUUUGUUGCUAUCUUGGGAUCAAAAAUAGUGUCCCCUCUUUUCUUAAUGUGCUUAUAAAUUAAUAUAAGUUCCCUUUUAUUGAUUUUCCAUUUCAAACAUAAAUGUUAACCAACAAGUAACAGUUUACACAUAGAUGUCUGUAUGCUGCUCUUUCUAGUCACAUCCAUUUAGCUAUAACAUGAUGAAGUCUAAUUAAUUGAAGCUUCAAUAAAUGGAAGGACCAGCUUAAAGUAAAAUAAGCCUGUGAAAAAUCUUGGCACAAUUGAAAUUUCAUAAAUAUCUGUGAAAGAUAAUUAGGCAUCUUAAAGUGAAAAGUCUUCAUUAUGAACUUAUUAAUGAAGAUGGAUGUUUUUGAAGUUUGAAAGAAUUCUUGUCUUAAGGUAGGGGUGUCCCCAAGGAGAGGGUAAAUUAUUACCUGUCAAAGGAUAUGACAAGAAAGUACUUACUGGUGAAUUUUCUGUGUUCGAAAGCCUGGCUCUGUAGAACUAGAAAUUGGUAUUGUAAGCCCAACAGUGGGUUCAUUUUUUAGAGUAGUCUCAAAUUUAUAAAUCUCAAAAAAAAGGAACUGUGUAAACUAGAAUAACAAUUUACUGAUUUUCAAGUAAGAAAUACGACAUGCAUUUAAUUCAAACUCAUGCAAAUAUUUAUGAAGCACCUAUGUCCAGGACACUGUGCUAUGUGUUGAAAAUUUGGAGUUCAAAUUUAUCAAGAAAGAUAUAUAUUGAAAAAGUAAAAGUAGGAUGGGUGUUAAGAAAGAGGAAGUAUGGGAGCUUGUAGAAGCACGCACGAGGUUUAUAACCUAGGUUAGAUGGUCAGGAAGAUCUCCAAAAUGAUUUUAUCUUAAGGGAAUGAGAAAUUAUUAAAAAGGCUUUAAAUAGGAAAUUAGCAUGAUCAGAUUUGUCGGCUAGAAUAUUUGUGUAAUCGGAAAGGGUAAUGUUUCAAGAAGUGUAUUAAUGUCACUUUCUGGGUAUACAACUUAAUCAAUCCAAGGCACCUUUCUGCUGAGGAUUUGGAUUCUUGUAUAAAAAAUACAAAAGAAAUAUUUACUUUUUAACUUUCGAUAUUAAAUAUAGGAUUUUUUAAAUCGAGUUUUUAGGCUUCAAAUCGAGGCAUUGUCAAGACAUAAAAUGUAAAUUUGUUUAUGGUUCAACAUAUCAAGGCUAGGCCUGGUGGACCAAAUGAUAGGGUUUCUCCCAUAGUAAAGACAAGGUAUCUUAGUCCAGUAUGAAGGAUUUAGUCAGAGAUUGAUAUAAGGAAGGUGGUGGCUAUGAAGUAGGUAAAGUAGAAGAAAAUCCUAUUCUCUUUGGCUUGGAGAAUUACGGGAAAGGGGUAGAAGAGCUCAAGAAAGACACCAGAAACAUUUUUACUGUUCCCACCCUGAAGAUGUAGGGUGAGGGGUUGUGGCUUUAGAAAUAUCCAGAUUGGUGUGGGAAAACUCAAGGACAGAGAAAUUACUUUCCCAAUUCUCAGAUAUCUGGGAAGAUAUCAGGCUGAGCAGGAACCACAUUCCAGUAACCUUGAACAGGGCGGAGACAGGGUAGGCAUUGACUUUCCAGAGUGCUGUAAGUUUCUAUGUACUGUUGAGACUCAGAAAACAAUACUCCCCUCCUCC